GGUGAACGCUGGCGGCGUGCCUAAUACAUGCAAGUCGAACGGAAAGACAAUGAGCGUUUGCUUUUAACGGUGGCGGGUGGCGGGCGGGUGAGGAGUGCAUAGGAAUCUUAUUUUUCGUGGAGGAUUUCGUGGAACAGCUUAUGAUAAUAGAGAAUACGUCCUACGGGUGGGAGCAGGGGAGAUUGAGGGCUUGCGCGACAGAUUGAGACGAUGUCGGAUUAGAUAGUUGGAAGGGUAAGGGCACACCAAGGCGACGAAACGUAGCUGGACUGAGAGGGUGAUCAGCCACACUGGAACUGAGACACGGUCCAGACUCCUACGGGAGGCAGCAGUGGGGAAUAUUAGACAAUGGGCGCAAGCCUGACCCAGCCAUACCGCGUGGGUGAUGAAGGCCUUCGGAUUGUAAAGCCCUUUUGUUAGGAAAGAACAGCUGCAUAUGAAAACCCCGCCGUUCUGACGGUACCCAAAGAAUAAGCACCGGCUAACUUCGUG
rnacentral:rRNA from 1 species